rnacentral:rRNA from 1 species
AUUGAACGCUGGCGGCAGGCCUAACACAUGCAAGUCGAACGAGUGGCGGACGGGUGAGUAAUGUCUGGGAAACUGCCUGAUGGAGGGGGAUAACUACUGGAAACGGUAGCUAAUAACGCAUACCAUCGGAUGUGCCCAGGUGGGAUUAGCUAGUGGGUGGGGUAAAGGCUCACCUAGGCGACGAUCCCUAGCUGGUUUGAGAGGAUGACCAGCCACACUGGAACGGAGACACGGCCCAGACUCCUACGGGAGGCAGCAGUGGGGAAUAUUGCACAAUGGGCGCAAGCCUGAUGCAGCCAUGCCGCGUGUAUGAAGAAGGCCUGCGGGUUGUAAAGUACUUUCCGCGGGGAGGCGUUACCUGCAGAAGAAGCACCGGCUAACUCCGUGCCAGCCGCCGCGGUAAUUC